UACGAAGGGGGCUAGCGUUGCUCGGAAUCACUGGGCGUAAAGCGCACGUAGGCGGCUUGCUAAGUCAGGGGUGAAAUCCUGGAGCUCAACUCCAGAACUGCCUUUGAUACUGGGGAUCUCGAGUCCGGGAGAGGUGAGUGGAACUCCGAGUGUAGAGGUGAAAUUCGUAGAUAUUCGGAAGAACACCAGUGGCGAAGGCGGCUCACUGGCCCGGUACUGACGCUGAGGUGCGAAAGCGUGGGGAGCAAACAGG
rnacentral:rRNA from 1 species